rnacentral:tRNA from 1 species
GAUGGGUUAAUACAAGUCUUCUAAAUUUGUUUGGGGUUAUUCCACCCCAUUU